AUGGCGACGGCGGAGGACCCGCGGACGUCACCGGAGCCCGCGGAGCUGCCGGCCGCCGUACGCGCGAGCGUGGAGCGGAAGCGGCAGCGGGCGCUGAUGCUGCGCCAGGCCCGGCUGGCAGCGCGGCCAUACCCCGCGGCGGCGGCGGCCACCGGAGGCAUGACCAGUGUAAAAGUCCCUCCCAGAAUGAUUGACACCAAAGGAGGCUUCAUUUUAGAAGAGGAGGAGGAAGAGGAACACAAGAUUGGAAAUGUUGUUCAUGACCCAGGGCCCGUCAUGGAGUUUGAUUAUGUGGUCUGUGAAGAAUGUGGGAAAGAUUUCAUGGACUCCUAUCUUAUGAACCACUUUGAUUUGCCGACGUGUGACAGCUGCAGAGAUGCUGAUGACAAACACAGGCUUAUAACCAAAACAGAAGCCAAGCAGGAAUACCUUCUGAAAGACUGCGAUCUCGAGAAGAGAGAGCCUGCCCUUCGGUUUAUCGUGAAGAAGAACCCGCGUCACGCACAGUGGGGCGAUAUGAAGCUCUACUUAAAGUUACAGGUUGUAAAGCGGGCUCUGGAAGUUUGGGGCAGCCAGGAAGCCCUGGAAGAUGCCAAGGAAGUGAGGCAGGAAAACCGAGAAAAGAUGAAGCAGAAGAAGUUUGACAAAAAAGUAAAAGUGCUUGGUGGAUAUGUUCCUGUCCUGACUAGGCCACAGAGGGCUGAGUGGAGUAGACUGUAGAGUAGAAACGAGAAGCUGAUUGUGCAGUUUGCUCAGAGCAGACAGGAGUCAAAGCAAGUCGAAAGGCUUUUUAGGUGGAAAGAAAUUGGAACAUGGUUCCUCUUGAUGCACAGCGAAGCAGACAUAAAGCUUUCUUCUUUAUGGGAAGGGCUCAUUCUAUGCAGGGAGGAACCUGAGAACCUGGCUGCAUAAUAGAAAGGAAGUGAUGCAUCUUCCAUCAUUGCACUUCCUGUCCUGGUGGCUCCUUAGCCCUGAGCACGCCGCUCCACUCCCUGUCCUUAGGCUUUGGACCGCUUGUUUGGAAAAGGAGAGAAGGGCAAAGAAAAGCCAAACUGAACAGCAGAGCGGGUUAGACAUCUCUAAUCUGAAAAUCCAAAGUGCUCCAAAAAGAAAUACUGCCAGCAAGGAAACCCCAUGCCCAGGCACUAGAAAUACAUCAGGUACAUCAAGCUAUAUGUUUUGUUAAGACUCAGGUCCCAUCAGACAUAUUCUGUAUAUGCAGAUUUUUCAAAAUCUAAAAGUAUCCACCAAACACUUUCAAGACUUGGCUCCGUGAUGCCCAGCCUGUGCUUCCACCUCUACCAGGAAUGUCUGUGAGAAGCACUGCAGGUCCAGCCUUAUUCUAGUGUAGUUAAAUAGCUCGUUGUCACAAAAGUGACAACGAUGGGGCUGGAGAGAUGGCUCAGAGGUUAAGAGCACCGACUGCUCUUCCAAAGGUCCUGAGUUCAAUUCCCAGCAACCACAUGGUGUCUCACAACCAUCUGUAAUGAGAUCUGGCGCCCUCUUCUGUAUACAUAAUAAAUAAAUAAAUCUUAAAAAAAAAAAAAAAAAAAAAAAGUGACAACGAAAAUGUCAGUCUUCAGCCAUGGCUGAAAAGAUAGUUUUUCAUGUACGUAGUACAUCUGAGAAGAAAAUAAUUCUUACCUCUUCCUCAAGUACAUAUAAUAUUCAAAUCUGGCAGAGAAGGCAGCUUAGUCUGAUUGUACUGCAGCCUAAUUUUGAGGGACUUUUCACUGUGGGAAGUCAAGGAGAGUGGCAGGCUGUCUUCCCCCACCCAAGCUGAGAAGCAGGAACCCACAGAGGAGAUGUCUGCUGCCCCUCUGCAGACAAGAGGCACACUGACUCACUCAGGUAGCAGAGAGCAGACUUGAUGAUAUAAAAUGACGAAGAUUAGAGUGUAGAUGACUGACUUUCCUAGCAGAUGCUGCACACACUGAACCUUGUAAAUCUCAAAGUGGUGUAAAGGCAGCAGGACCCAAGGAAGAAUGCUGCCCAGGGCCAGGAUGAUCCCAGGGACCUAAGCUGGACUGUACACCUGCUCAUCAGCCCACUUUUGCCUUGGUUUGCCUAUCUGUAAAACACUGGAUGCAGCUCUCUGUAAUUACCCAAGAGAUGUAAAGUAAAUGCAUCUUAAGUGCUUAGCCCAGUGUCCAGUAUGUCACCCUGUCUUGCUGUUACCCGUGAUACUGUGAUUGGAAACAAAGAUUCAAGUAGUGCUAUGAUAUUAGUUACAAACCAUCUCAAGGAAAACCAGCAACCCCUGGAAUCUGAAGUUACUGGUUGUGAGCCAACUGGCAUGGUUGCUAGGAAUCAGUCUCAAGUCCUCUGGAAGGGCAGUAUGAGCUCCUAACCACUGAGCCACCUCUCCAGCCCUUGGCAGUCUGUUU